rnacentral:tRNA from 1 species
UAAAAGGUGGCCGAGUUUACAAGCGCUAGAUUGUAAAUCUAGAUACGAGAUUUUCUCCCUUUUAA